UGAAAACUGUCUCAUAGCAAGAGAAAAACAUUUCAGUUUUUUGUUUUAGUGGUCAGUAUAGGAGAAUGAAAAUUGUCUGUGUUACCCUUACAGCUAUUUUGAUAAAUGUUGAGGUUUAACCUGCAAUACAACAAAUUUAAAACAGAAACUUCCAUUUGAAGUAUGACACUCAAGAGUUGAGGUCGUGAGUUUUGACUGUGUCCCGGCCGUGUCCCGGCCGUCAGAGGUCCUGGGAAAACCUCCGGCUGGCUUGGAAAGUGGCGUGCAGCGGCCUGGCCUCUCCGACGGGGGCGUCCCUCCGGGUGGGGCGAUGUGAAUGAGCGAUUCGCCGGGCCGGGCUGGGGACUCCACUGCCGACCUGCGUGCGCUCCUGAGUGAGCCCUGUGCACACAGUAUUCUUCUCCAAAAGCAACCAAAGUCAGGACACCAGAAGAGCAUUUCAUCCACCAAGGCUGGUUAGCCACGCGUCGCACUGACCCUUCCGAGUCCUUUUGCUGAGGUGUGCACAGUCUCCACGCUGUGCAGCCGGGUGGGUUGGUCUUUCUCUGCGCGUCUGUCCUAUCUUCCAUUUGUAACCCUGCCCUUCUGUCUGCAGGAAUGGGGACAGUGGAGUGUACAGCCCGACUGGAACACAAUGUUGGGAUAAAGCAACUAUUUAACCUGUUUAUUUAGGCAAAAUAUUUCAAUUUUCUACCUUUUCUAAUUUUUAUUUCAUGGUAAUAUCAAAAAUUGAAAAAAUGUUUAAUGUUAAACUCCUAGUUGCUAAAGAGCAAUGAGGAAUGGGAGGUAGCACUUAACAGUGAAGAUAAAAACACAGUAUUUUCUUGGACGCAUAUGUGAUUGGGUAUUAAACCAACCAGCAUCCUCUAUCAUCUCCACAAGAUCACAGGAGCCCGCUUGUUACUGCGUAAUUGCAGGGUCUGUACUUUACUCACUAGUUAGGAUUCUAGGUCCUGUACUGCAGUCCGCCUGGUCUGCACCACGCAUGUGCUGAGGACAGCAGCAGGGGCAGCACCUCUGCCUAAACCUCACCCACUCAAUGUGACUGAUGCUCAGGCCCUGCCCAGGGAGCCAGGUCACACCCUCCUCCUCCGUCCUCUCUAGUCCCUUCCUGCUUCCAGGUGUCUUGUCCAAGGCCUUGCCGGUUUACAUCCUGGUGGCAUUACCUGCUGAAGUCUUAAAGUUCUAAGGGAAACUGUCUCCUUGCCAAACCUGGUCCCCAAGGAUCGGAGCCAAGUGGAGUGGCUGUGUCCUUUCCAGAGUGCAGGUGACUCCCAAAGAGCAAGUCAGGUGGCCUUGAGAGGUGUGGGACCCAAGACUGGACUGUCGCACAGUCCCAAGGGCCUGCCUGGAAGCGAAUGUUCUAGAACCACAGGCUGUGCUGGUGGAGGCCAAAGGUCCCUGGCACUGCCCUGCUGUUCUGGGAGCGAGCAGUGUCCCCAGCCCCACCCCAGGGACGAUGACCCCUCCUCACAUUAGCUCUCAUGUGCACACAACAAGGCGUUGGUACCAAGACUGCAACCCUUCACGGCUUCUAUUGGACAUACUUUCUUUUAAGGAAUGAAGGAAAAUUCUCCCAUUUUUGAGCCAUUCUUUUGUCAAUUCUACAAAAUGCAUGUAACUUUAUAAAUAUUUUUAAAAGAUAUAGUUUUGUAAAUAUUUAAUAUUCUGCUAAUUUGAUUUUGAAUUGUAAAUGUCAAGUAUUCUGUUUUUGGGGUUUUUAUGUUUUAUUAUACUUUGUUAAAAAGGAAAAAUUGUACAUUUUUAGAAUGUUUUUAUGAGUAAAUUUA
ensembl:lncRNA